rnacentral:rRNA from 1 species
ACUGGACCCAUUAAAAGACGGUCAGGUGCGAAAGCGUGGGGAGCAAACAGGAUUUAGAUUACCUUGGUUGUCCAUGCCGUCAACGAUGAAUGUUAGCCGUUGGGGAGUUUACUCUUCGGUGGCUCAGCUAACGCAUUAAACAUUCCGCCUGGGGAGUACGGUCGCUAGAUUAAAACUCAAAUGGAAUUGAACGGGGGGCCCGACACAACACGGUGGAGUCAUGUGAUGUUAAUUUAAUAGCAACGCAGCAGAACCUUACCUAGCCCUUGACAUACCAGGUCGCGGAACACAGAGAUGUGUCUUUCAGUUCUGGCUGGACCGGAUACAGGUGCUGCAUGGCAGUCGUCAGCUCAGUGUCGUGAGAUGUUGGGUUAAGUCCAGUCAACGAGCGCAACCCUACCCUUUAGUUGCCAGCAUUUAGUUGGGCACUCUAAGGGGACUGCCGGUGAUAAGCCGAGAGGAAGGUGGGGAUGACGUCAAGUCUUCAUGGCCCUUACGGGCUGGGCUACACACUUGUUACAAUGGUGGUGACAGUGGGCAGCGAGCACGCGAGUGUGAGUUAAUCUCCAAAAGCCAUCUCAGUUCGGAUUGCAGUCUGCAACUCGAGUGCGUGAAGUUGGAAUCGCUAGUAAUCGCGGAUCAGCAUGUCGCGGUGAAUACGUUCCCGGGCCUUGUACACACCGCCCGUCACACCAUGGGAGUUGGUUUACCAGAAGGGUUAGCCUAACCGCAAGGAGGCAGGCGACCUAUAGAGUUGCGGG